rnacentral:rRNA from 1 species
UACGUAGGGGGCUAGCGUUGUCCGGAAUCAUUGGGCGUAAAGAGCGUGUAGGCGGCCCGGUAAGUCCGCUGUGAAAGUCAGGGGCUCAACCCUUGAAUGCCGGUGGAUACUGUCGGGCUAGAGUGCGGAAGAGGCGAGUGGAAUUCCUGGUGUAGCGGUGAAAUGCGCAGAUAUCAGGAGGAACACCGAUUGCGAAGGCAGCUCGCUGGGACGUAACUGACGCUGAGACGCGAAAGCGUGGGGAGCAAACAGG